rnacentral:ncRNA from 14 species
GCUUAGCUCAGUGGUAGAGCGCCCGCUUAGCAUGCGGGAGGUCCGGAGUUCAAUUCUCCGAGUGU